AAUCCCCUGCAGUGUUCGUGCUGGCCGUAGAUUCCUUGAACCAAUGUCUUCGUGACUUGGUUGCCGACCGAUGAUUUUGCUGGUGUGCGGUCCCCUCCGUCGGGAACGCCUGAUGCAACAGGAAGGCGACCUCCCUGAACCCUCGGUUCAGGAUGCCCGGCCAGGGCGGCACGCGCGGGGGGCCA
rnacentral:other from 1 species